CAAUAGCGUAUAUUAAAGUUGUUGCAGUUAGAACGCUCGUAGUCGGAUUUCGGGGCGGGCCGGCCGGUCUGCCGAUGGGUAUGCACUGGUCGGCGCGUCCUUCCUUCCGGAGACCGUCCCUACUCUUAACUGAGCGGGGGCGGGAGACGGGACUUUUACUUUGAAAAAAUCAGAGUGUUUCAAGCAGGCAGCUCGCUCUUGCAUGGAUUAGCAUGGGAUAAUGAAAUAGGACUUUGGUGCUAUUUUGUUGGUUUCGAACACCGAAGUAAUGAUGAGAAGGGACAGUCAGGGGCACUCGUAUUCCGCCGAGAGAGGUGAAAUUCUCAGACCAGCGGAAGACGAACCACUGCGAAAGCAUUUGCCAGGGAUGUUUUCACUGA
rnacentral:rRNA from 1 species